AUACAAAGGAAAAGAAACAGUGGAAACACAGAACAACCAAAAAACAGGAUAAAAUGGCAGUAUUAAGCCCUCAUAUGUCAAUAAUCAUCCUAAAUA